AAUGGGAAUUUAAGUCGUCUUCUUAUUUUUAUGAUAAAGUAAGACUAAAUGUGUAAAAAUGAGCUUAAAAUUAAUAAAAAUUCAAUAUAUGGUGAUAAUGAUUUUACAUAUACUUUUACCAAAAAAAAAAUGAUUUUACAUAUACUUUCUAAAUUAUUCCAAAGUUUUAUUUAUCUUCUUGUCAAACUUUUGGCUGUCAAAAUUCAACUACUAUUAGAAAAGCAUUUUAACGUUUUAAGUCUAUUUAAGAUAUCUCUA
rnacentral:lncRNA from 1 species